UACGAGGGGGGCAAGCGUUGUUCGGAAUUAUUGGGCGUAAAGGGCGCGUAGGCGGUGCGGUAAGUCACCUGUGAAAACUCUGGGCUCAACUCAGAGCCUGCAGGCGAAACUGCCGUGCUUGAGUGUGGGAGAGGUGCGUGGAAUUCCUGGUGUAGCGGUGAAAUGCGCAGAUAUCAGGAGGAACACCGGUGGCGAAGGCGGGUCUCUGGGCAACAACUGACGCUGAGGAGCGAAAGCGUGGGGAGCGAACAGG
rnacentral:rRNA from 1 species